UUACCUCAGAUCAGGCAAGGCAACCCGCUGAAUUUAAGCAUAUUAAUAAGCGGAGGAAAAGAAACUAACAAGGAUUCCCCUAGUAAUGGCGAAUGAAGCGGGAACAGCUCAAAUUUAAAAUCUCCGUUGCUUGCAACGGCGAAUUGUAGUUUCGAGAAGCACUUUCUCGGCGGAUCCGAGGUCGUCCAAGUUGCUUGGAACAGCACGUCGUAUAGGGUGACAACCCCGUCUGCGGCGAUCUCGGCCGUUAACGAUGUGCUUUCGACGAGUCGGGUUGUUUGGGAAUGCAGCCCAAAAUGGGUGGUAAACUCCAUCUAAAGCUAAAUAUUGGCACGAGACCGAUAGCGAACAAGUACCGUGAGGGAAAGAUGAAAAGCACUUUGAAAAGAGAGUUAAAAAGUAAGUGAAACCGUUAAAAGGGAAACGAAUGGGGUUAGCAAUGCGUCGCGCGAGAUUCAGCCGGUGGGUGGGCCAGGCGGGCGGUUGGCGGAUCUGAAUGGACCGCUGCCGUUCGGGUUGGUUUCCCGACCGUCGCACUUCUCGCAGGCGCGCGCCAACGUCGGUUAGGGCUGGGUCUCAAAGGCAGGUGGAAAGGUAGGUUUGGACUCUCGGGCCCGAAGUGUACAGUCCUCCGUU
rnacentral:ncRNA from 1 species